CAUGAUCAUUAUCAAAAAUCCUAGAAUCCAAAGUUUCCUUUGAAAUGGCAGAAUUGUUUGUCGAGCUCUGAAAAAUGCGAUCUCCGAACGGUCGAAUAAAAGAUGCAAAAUCGUCAAAUCCUUUACGCUUCAUGAAAUUUUCUGUGUCAUCAGAUGCCAUAAUAAAUAUGUGCGGACAAUAUGUGUCACUGAUCAGCUGUCGAAGCUUUAGCCCAAACGCAUUGUUGCUCACCGAUGACGGUGUUACAUGAAGAGAACUUUGAGAUGCAUUAGGAGCAAUUUCAGAAAGGCUCCUGGUUAUAAAAUUUGUUGCAAUGUCCAUAAGGAUGUGUUAACGGUAUAGAGGAUAAAAAUUCCAAACGUAGUAUAUGAUUGUAGCAGGUCGUCGC